AAAAUAGAAAUAAGGAAAAAGCGUGAGCCAUUGGAUAAUCUUUCAUUAACUGACGUGGAUCAUCACACGUCCUAGAAGGGCAAGUUCACCAUACUCCUUGGUCAACUGAAACACGCCAAGAAUUUAAAAGAGUCAUAACAAUGGACGUGUGUGAUUGUAUCUGGAAAACACAAUGGACGCUCCUGAUUGAAUCUGGAGACCAGACGGUGGCCAGCGCCACCGUCUUCUCCGGCCAAACUCCGGCCACAUCAAAAAUUG
rnacentral:lncRNA from 1 species